UGGCCCAGAAGGCACACAAAAGAACACAAACAUGUUAUGCAUACAUACACACAGCAUCUAAUCAAGUCUUUUGUCAACAGCAAUUUUAGGACUGGUCAUCAUCAAAUGAUUUGGAUGAUUUGCCAAGAGAAUUGAGAACUCAUUCAUGAUAAUGACCAGGAGUGUACCAGGAGUGCCAAACCAAGAAAGCCUGCUGAAUCACACACCCCUGCCUUCGGGUCCCAGUAAAUCCUCCACGCUGCACCGCCAUCCACAGUCACCAUCAGAGCACCAGGACCAAGAACAUGGUUUGAGGUCAGACCCUGGCUCGGCCACAUGUUGAUGCAUGCCAGGAGUUGCUGACAGUCAUCUUGCCACCCUGAGAGAAGACCUUCUUGAAGAUGGAGCCAUCACAGACAGAAGAACGAAGAGAUGGAGAAACAGCAAGGGCCAGGGAUCUCGUUUGAUCACUGGAUCCAGCCACGCCUGAAUCUAAUGUAUCCUUGCACUUAGAGGCAGUAUCAUUUCUCUGCAAAAAUAUAGGGAAGCCUAACCAACAGAUUGUUCACUCAAAUUAUUGCUAUGACAAGUGAAGAGAAGAGAUAAAUCUCGAGGGGCUCAAUUUUCAUAUCUUAUGGCAAUCAAGCUGGGUGAGACAUUUCCAUUCAAGUGCUAUGGACAUGCCCUGCUCCCUGGGACCCUAUACCCUUUUCUACCAAGCUACUCCCAUCUAAGAGCUAAACCCAUAACUUGGGACUCACCACAGGCAGGAUAAUGAGCACAUCCAUCGCUCCCCCAAACGCCCUCAUGCCCCUGUAUCAUCCUUUCACCCCUCUUGCCCCCACCACACAACCCCUCAUCCACUUUCUGUUGCCGUACAUUAGUUUUCACCUUCUGGAAUAUUCUGUAAAUGGAUUCUUACACCAUGUACUCUUUUUUUUGGGGGGGGGCUGGUUUCUUUCACUCAGUAUUAUUAUUUUGAAAUUCAUUUACAUUGUUGUGUAUAUCAAAACAGUUUCUUUUUAAAAUCACUGAAUAGUAUUUCAAUGUGCCACAAUGUGUUUAUCUGUUUAUUUGCUCAUGGACAUUUGAGUUCUUUCUAAGUUUAGGACUAUUAAAAAAUAAAGCCGCUGUGAUAUUUUUGGACAAGGUUUUGUAUGAACAAAGCCUUCCCUUUCUCUUGGGUAAAUACAUAGGAGUGGUAUGGAUGAGUCAUAUGGUAGCUGUAUAUUAAAUUUUUUAAGACACUCUCCAAGUAUUCUUCCAAAGUAGUCCUACCGACUUUACAUCUGCAUCAGCAGCAUGUGAGAAAGAGUUGCAGUAGGUCCUCCCCAACACGUGCUGUGGCCACUGUUUCAUUUUAGCCAUUCUAAUAGGUGCCUAGCAGUAUCGCAUUGUGCUUUUCACUCGCAUUUCUCUAGUGACUAAUAAUAUCUGGCAUCUUUUCUUGUACUUAUUUGCCAUCUGUGUAUCUUCUGUUUUUUUGAUGAAGUCUGUUCAAAUCUUUGGCCCCUUUUUAAAAUCUAUUUUUCAUUGUGUGUUUACUUUUGACUGCGCUGGAUCUUCAUUGCUGAGCAUGGGCUUUCUCUGGCUCUGGCGCGUGGGGCUGUGCCCCAGCUGUGGGUGCGUGGGCUUCUCAAUUCACUGGCUUCUCUUGUUGCAGCCCAUGGGCUUAGGGCACAGGCUCGGGAGAUGUGGCACGCAGGCUUGGCUGCCUUUUGACAUAUGGAAUCCUCCCGGAUCAGGGACUGAACCCAUGUCCCCUGCACUUGCAGGCAGAUUCUUAACCACUGGACCACCAAGGAAGUCCUGGUCCAUUUUUUAUAUUGACUGUUUACUUUCUGGAUGUUAAGUUUUGAGAUUCAUUAUAUUUUUCUGUAUCAGAUUUGCAAAUACUGACUCUGUCUGUGGUUUGUGUUUUCAAGAGAAGAGUCUUUUGAAGAGAAGAGGUUCUUAAUUUUGAU